CUGGAACAAGACUGAUUUACUGGCACACAGAACUCACAACUUAUGCAACACAAAACUCCUCCUCUGGGCCAGGCUAGAUAAUUGAGUUUCUACAAUACACAAAGCUCAAUUAUCUGCUGGCCAGAAACAUUAAAAUUUCAUAAAACACACAGGGACCCCAAAACAUGCAAUAACCCCAUAAAAAGUAUAUCCUUGGAACCGGGGGAUCUGGGUGAACCACAUAUCCAAAAUUCACCCAGAUCCGUUCAGUACUUUGGAAAAUACAGUUUAAU